AUUCGAAUUCACUAAGAGCAAGCAUGAGGGAUAUGACAGUGAACAUGGCUGCAGUUUUUCCUGCUUAAGCUUGCUUUCGUCCUUUUAAAUGACUGUACCAGGAGGAUUUCGCAGUUGUACAGAAACUGAUAUUUCUUCAAAAAUCUUUAUCAAUUCUACACUCACCCCACCGGCUGGUUCAGAGAGGCACUAUGAUGCUACCUUAUUGACACUGCUGGUCGUGGGAUCGUACAGCCUUUGUAUAAUUCCUUUGUUAGCCACGUUUACUGGGAAAAAAACUGGUAAUGCCACUGUCAUCAAAUAUGAGGAGAAACCUCCAAAACCAGCAUUUCAGAAUGGUUCCUCAGGAUCCUUUUAUUUGAAGCCUUUGGUAUCCAGGGCUCAUGUUCACUUGCUGAAAACUCCUCCAAAAGGUCCUUCGAGAAAAAAUUUAUUUACAGCUCUUAAUGCAGCCCAAAGUGCUGGGAUUACAGGCGUGAGCCACUGUGCUGCUGCACCCAGCUAUCUCAGAAUUCUUAACCUUUUGUAGGCUCUUAAAGUUAGGAAGACAGCCAUGCAGAAUGAUCCAAGUUCUAAAGAUCUCCAGGAUGCU
rnacentral:sRNA from 1 species